rnacentral:rRNA from 1 species
GAUGAACGCUGGCGGCGUGCCUAAUACAUGCAAGUCGAGCGAACAGACGAGGAGCUUGCUCCUCUGACGUUAGCGGCGGACGGGUGAGUAACACGUGGAUAACCUACCUAUAAGACUGGGAUAACUUCGGGAAACCGGAGCUAAUACCGGAUAAUAUAUUGAACCGCAUGGUUCAAUAGUGAAAGACGGUUUUGCUGUCACUUAUAGAUGGAUCCGCGCCGCAUUAGCUAGUUGGUAAGGUAACGGCUUACCAAGGCAACGAUGCGUAGCCGACCUGAGAGGGUGAUCGGCCACACUGGAACUGAGACACGGUCCAGACUCCUACGGGAGGCAGCAGUAGGGAAUCUUCCGCAAUGGGCGAAAGCCUGACGGAGCAACGCCGCGUGAGUGAUGAGGGUCUUCGGAUCGUAAAACUCUGUUAUUAGGGAAGAACAAAUGUGUAAGUAACUGUGCACAUCUUGACGGUACCUAAUCAGAAAGCCACGGCUAACUACGUG